rnacentral:misc_RNA from 1 species
AAGUCGUAACAAGGUUUCCGUAGGUGAACCUGCGGAAGGAUCAUUAACACGUAUCCAACGUUAAAACCCCCCCGUGAACUUCAGUGUGCUCGUACGCUUUGUUAAGAGUGUGCUUGUAGCGCGAGGCAGCCUGGCAUCCUUGUCUGAAAGUGUCAAGGGUGGCGCAGUCACGAUCGCUAGAGGCCGACACGGGCUCACGGGCCUGCGCUUAAUUGUGCGGCC